rnacentral:misc_RNA from 1 species
UUCCGUAGGUGAACCUGCGAAGGAUCAUUAAUAAAUGUCUACGUUUUUUAAGUAGACGCUUAAUAAUCUACCCUUUGUAAUUUGUGUUUUGAAAUAAUUUUUUUUAAAUUAUUGAUUGUCUUCCUGUUGAAUUGGUUGUCUUAAUGGCAAAUGAUUCGCAGGGAGUGUCAGUAAUUUUAAAAAGACCUUUUUAAAAUUAAACUUUUGUAUUCAUUUGUCUAAAAUUAUUUUAUAAUAUAAAACAACUUUUGACAAUGGAUCUCUUGUUCUCGCAACGAUGAAGAACGCAGCAAAUGCGAUAAGUAGUGUGAAUUGCAGAAUACGUGAAUCAUCGAAUCUUCGAAGCAUAUUGCACUUUUUAGUUUACUAAAAAGUAUGUCUGCUUGAGUAUCAGUAAAAUUCUCAUAAAACUUUUUGUUUUUAUGGCUAUGAGUGUUUACAACGAUACAAGUUGUUCACUUUAAAUUUUUUUUAAAAUUUGAAUUUUUCUAAUUUUAAAAUAAAUUGGAUAAAAUUUCCCGUAAAAAAGGAAUAACCUAAACAUUUAAUUUUGAUUAGAAUUCUUCAAUAUAAAGGAAAUUUAACUAAUAACUUGAUCUCAAUCAGAUAAGAGUACCGCUGAACUUAAGCAUAUCAAUAGCGGAGGAAAAGAACUAACAAGGAUUCCUUAGUAACGGCGAGUGAAGCGGAAGAGCUCAAUUGAAUCUUCAAGGUUUUACCUUGACGAAUUGUAGUUAAAGAAUGUUUCUGUUGAAGUUUUGGUAAAAGUUCUUUGAAUAGGAUCAUAGAGGUGAGAAUCCGUAUUUGACCAUUAUUCUCAGCUGUGUGAUACACUUUCAAGAGUCGGAUUGUUUGGGAUGCAGUCAAAAUGGGUGGUAAAUUUCAUCUAAGCUAAAUAUGGCGAGAGACCGAUAGCGAACAAGUACCGUGAGGGAAAGAUGAAAGAACUUUGAAAAGAGAGUUAAACAGUACGUGAAUUGUCAAAGGGAAGCGUUUGACACAGUGUUGUUUCUCGAAAAUCAAUUAAAAAAGUUGGAUUUGUGUUGUAUUGACCUUAACGCUUGCUUCACUCUUUCUUGCUUUUUUAGUGCACUUUCGUUUAACAAGUCAACAUCAGUUCUUUGUUGUAAAGGGUCAUUGGAAGGUGGCUUUCUUCGGAGAAAGUGUUUAUAGCUUUGAUCUCUGCAUCGGAGAGACUGAGGUCUGCAGCGUAGAUCCUUCGGGUAGAUACAUUUGUGCUAAGCUACAGCUUUCAUAGACAACUUGUUGACUAUGUUUAGUCUUGUAAUUACCGCUUAUGCUAUUU